UAAAAUCUGAAUGAAAUAGGUUUUACAAAUUAUCAUUACCUGGUAUACAUUGGUAUAUUACAAUAAGAAGUUGUUGAAAUGUCUGAAGUGCAUAAAAUGUUUAUCUUAAUAGAAACAUUAUUUCAUAGCUUCUUAAAAAGCCAGAAAAAGGAGAUGACCUGGCCGGUGAAACGAAUAAGGAAAAAGGAGAAGAAGCUGAUAUUGAAGAAAGCAAAUGGGAAAAAUCACCUGGAUCUGGGAGUAUAAAAUCCAAGCCAUUGGAGGGCUCACCAAAAGAACUUAAGGAAAAGUCACAAAAUGAUAGUGAUAAAGAGCAAAUGGAUUUGGAGAGAAGAUUUCGAGAAAAAGACCUUGAAAGACAAAGAUAUCGGUUGGAUGAUGGCAGAAAGCAUAGAGCUCACUAUGAAUUUGACAAGUUUAUGAGAAGGAAUGAAGAAGAGCUGAAAUGGGGGAAAGGAUACAGCCAAGACAGAGGGAAGAAAGGGAACCACAACUACAGCUUCACUGUGGAGGCCGUAGACAAACUGGGUAAAGGUUCUCCCUGGCUGAGGGAAAAUCACCCCAUUGAGAAGUGCCAAAUCCAGGAAAAUAACCUGUUCAAAGACCAGCCACAAUUGGGCAGCUUCUUGAAUGGGAACUACAUGCAGAAAACGAUUUUCCUGUCUUCACCUUGAAACCUGUGGAUCCCCUUUCUGUGGGCUUGGGGCUUUGUGAUUUCGGAAGACGUGUCAUAGCGUUUCCAAGAGAUGUCUGCUAUUGGUGGCCUCAUCCUCUCCCCAUUCUAAUCAUGUAAGUUUUUCAUUCAAGAUGGUUGACACUGUCUUGUGUGGAAUCCCCCUCUGUAAUGUGCACCUCUUCUGAAGGGAGUUUUCAAACCAGGCACAGGCAAGGUCCCCAUGACAGUGUGCCCCCUGAGGGAGCUGUGCUUUUGCUAGAGAUAGGAC
rnacentral:lncRNA from 1 species